rnacentral:rRNA from 1 species
UACGUAGGGUGCAAGCGUUGUCCGGAAUUAUUGGGCGUAAAGAGCUCGUAGGCGGUCUGUCGCGUCGGCUGUGAAAUCCCGAGGCUCAACCUCGGGUCUGCAGUCGAUACGGGCAAACUAGAGUAGUGCAGGGGAGACUGGAAUUCCUGGUGUAGCGGUGAAAUGCGCAGAUAUCAGGAGGAACACCGGUGGCGAAGGCGGGUCUCUGGGCAAUAACUGACGCUGAGGAGCGAAAGCAUGGGGAGCGAACAGG